UCCCGNAGAUCGUGCUCUACCUGUGCUUGA
rnacentral:piRNA from 1 species